rnacentral:rRNA from 1 species
UCCCGCAACGAGCGCAACCCUUGUUCCAUGUUGCCAGCGGGUAAUGCCGGGGACUCAUGGGAGACUGCCGGGGUCAACUCGGAGGAAGGUGGGGAUGACGUCAAGUCAUCAUGCCCCUUAUGUCCAGGGCUUCACACAUGCUACAAUGGCCUAUACAGAGGGCUGCGAGACCGUGAGGUGGAGCGAAUCCCUUAAAGU